CUUCGUGUAUCGAGAACUAAAACCCUAAAUUAUAUAAAAUUCUCAAUUUAGGAACCCUAGCCGCCACACUCCCUAAAUCCACCCCGUUCCGGCCACCAUUACUACGCUCCAGCACCACCACCAGCUCCAGCGUCCUCCCGCGACCUAACUCGUUCGUUGGCUCACUAAUAUCAGACAUCGUUUUGCCGAAUCGAGAGAAGCAACCGAUGCCAAAACCCCCCCCUCGUCGCUUUGUUCUUUUGUCUAUUCUGACCACCUUUGUUGUCGUCUCGCCUCACCGCCCCCAAAUUCGAACUCACCAUCGUUGACCGCACAAAACCCAACCGGGUUCGUUAUCCAUAGUUGUCUUUUUUGUUGACCGUCGACUUGGGUACUUGUGGAUCUCCUGAACGUUCGUCUGCUCGUCUUGGUUCCUCCCAAUCCGCUCGUCCGCGAGAGCCCGUGAAUACCCGUAUAGUUCUGUAAUCUUGUUGAAUAUUCAAUUUAGAUUAUUACUUCUAUUAUAAUCCUGUUCUGAUAUGACCUAGGUUCGUGUUCAAUAGAAGAGCGUAUCAAACCAUAACCAUUUUAAGGCAAUUUUAUGAUAAAAAUUUUCUUUUAGAAUA